UACGAAGGGGGCUAGCGUUGUUCGGAUUUACUGGGCGUAAGGCGCACGUAGGCGGAUCUUUAAGUCAGAGGUGAAAUCCCAAGGCUCAACCUUGGAACUGCCUUUGAUACUGGAGAUCUUGAGUCCGGGAGAGGUGAGUGGAACUGCGAGUGUAGAGGUGAAAUUCGUAGAUAUUCGCAAGAACACCAGUGGCGAAGGCGGCUCACUGGCCCGGUACUGACGCUGAGGUGCGAAAGCGUGGGGAGCAAACAGG
rnacentral:rRNA from 1 species